rfam:Picea glauca, whole genome shotgun sequence.
GGUGGGAUUCCCGAGUGGUUAAAGGGAGCAGACUGUAAAUCUGCCGUCAUCGACUUCGAAGGUUCGAAUCCUUCUCCCACCA